AUUAAUCGGGUCCAUCGGUGAAGGAAUCGCUUCAGAACCAUCUGUGAAACCAUCGCUUCAGGGUUCACUCACCCAUCGCACGUCCUCGUCCAGUUCGACGAGCACUCCAACAACUCGUUUAACCCAACAACGACGCCAGCUCCUUCAAAUUUCUACUGCUGGUGCGGGGAUAAUUCUUGAAGUCAAUGGAAGGGAUAACGGAAUGGUGCUGAUUCAUGGAGGUUUUAAAUCGAUGAGAUGAGAACUAGACUAGCAAGGGAUUUUUUUUUGAUAACCGGAUCUCUGGGCCAGUUUGUGCUUAUCUCGACUAAUUGUAGAGUCCUAAAGUUAAAGCCCAGGUAAACCCUACUGUGACCCCAAGCUAGACUAGCAAGGGACUCGCCGCCGCUAUACUGGCACCAAGUUCACGCCGAGGUAUCUAGACUUGUGUUUCGUACUUACUUCCAAAAAAAUGUGUUUAGGGUAUUUCAGUAUUUUAGUUCUUGAUUUGUAAUUGACUCAUGAUUUGAAUUUCAAAAGUAGGGUUUUGAGACUUUGUUUCUGAGGCUUUUUGGGCUUUUUUGUUUGUUUUUGGUUCUGAGUAUUUUAUUUGGUGACAAAUUGCAAUCCUAAUGUAGGGCUACAGACUUUCUUUGUGCGGAUAUUUUGGUUUAAUUGAUUAUGUUUCUUCAGAAAAUCAAACAGAGUAUGAACUAAAUUUUCUCUUCUACUAUUGUUCCUUGGUAUUAUGUUGGGUAAACAUUGGAGAAGAUGGUGGGUGUUGGUUCUUGUUUAUUUUUUAUGAAAUCCACCAGCAACAAACCUAUCAGCAGGGUCGGCCCAGGCACAAGGCCCAAGACGCUUGGGCCUUGGGCAUUUCAAAAAUUCCAAAUUUUAGGGACACUCUAAUAUUUUUACUAUUUGAAUUUGGAUAGAACUUUUUUUAAGCCCAAUAGAAUGAAAAAAAUGCCCAAUUGAUACUUUUGCUUCUAGAAAUGCACCACGAGUAUAUUCAAGUGAUACUCAUGCGUUUUUGAGAUAAUAUGUAGCCUAUUUGGAGACUUUGUAUUUUGUGUUCGUAUGUAAUAGUUAGUAAAACUUUAUAUUGGUUUGGCUUUCUUGUAUUGUGAUUGUUGUUGUAAAAAUUGUUAACUAUUAACUCUUUAAGGACACAUUUUUUUAUUAGGCCUUAGGCACUUAAAACCCUUGGGCCGACCCUGCCAAAGAUGACUAAGAAGAUCGUUGUUUAGUGGUCUACCUUGAUGUUGGAACACCCUAUUAGACUAUCAUGAUAACCUAAACUAUAUAGCUAGAAGAGGGUUUGUAUUUCUUGACGAACAUCGAAUUUGAUGUUGAUUUUGUGACCUAAGUCUAUCUCUCACUCUCCACCACCGUUUAAGAUUUCUCUUUUAUCUCCCAAAACCACCAUCCCCACCACCUUCUGCACCACUUAGAGCAUUUCCAAUCCUUACCAAUUUUACUAUCCAUACCCAAAAUUUGAGUAAAAAACCUAAAAACUCAUCUCCAAUCUCAUACCCAUUUGCCUACCCAUUUUGAGUUUUACUCAUUUUCUUACCCAAAUUUAGGGAGACUUAAACUCAUACCCAUUUUUUUCAAAUCUUCUUUUCACUCUCAUUAAUUACAAGUGUGCCACUCACUAAUUACAAGUAUGCCAUUACAUAAUAGAUUUGCAUAAAAAUAUGGGUUUAGCAUUGUUGAUACCUUACCCAAAUCAAGUGUCUAAGAGCAUCUUUAGUCCUCACCAAUAUUUUUUCUCAAAUUUGAGUCAAAUUUUGGGUAAAAAUCUAUUUUGGAUAGACACAUCUCCAACCAUCAAAUUCAAAUUUUACACAUCUCCCUCUUUCUCUCUCUCUUUAACUAGCCAUUGUAGAAAUGGGUCAAGGCAAAAGUUGUCUUAGAUUUGGGCAAAAAAAUGGGUAAAAUCCAAAAUGGGGAAGGAUUUGGGUCAAAGAUUGGAAAGAGAUUAUUGUGAUUUUUGUACCAUUUUUAAAUUUAAGUAUUAAAAUGGGUCAAGGCUGGAGAUGCUCUAACCUAAAUCUCUGCCCACAAAUUUUACACAUCUCCCUCUUUCUCUCUCUCUUUAACUAGCCAUUGUAGAAAUGGGUCAAGGCAAAAGUUGUCUUAGAUUUGGGCAAAAAAAUGGGUAAAAUCCAAAAUGGGGAAGGAUUUGGGUCAAAGAUUGGAAAAAAAUUAUUGUGAUUUUUGUACCAUUUUUAAAUUUAAGUAUUAAAAUGGGUCAAGGCUGGAGAUGCUUUAACCUAAAUCUCUGCCCACAUUUGGGUGAAAAAAUGGGUAAGGAUUGGAAAUGAUCUUACCGCCCCCACUCAUUUGCCUCCACCCCACUCCCGACCAUCGGCACCACCCAGUGCCACCUCUGGGCUACUUCUUUCGUGCUCCAAAUCCUCUCAUCUGUUUCUCUCUUCUUCUGUCUCUCAUCUUCAGAUCUGCGUCUCUUCCCACUCCUCUACCUUGCUCGUGACAGUUUAUUGCCCGAUCCAAUAAUCCCAGGGGUUUACGCCGGUGGACGGCGGCAAAGCGCUCAUGCCACAUUCUACGCAGGCAGUAACCACUGGUAGACUGGGGAGGUAUUAUUUGGCCUCAACUAAUUCUAACCUAAUUUGUUUGUAAUCUCAACUACUUGUGAAGCCCUUGUGCCUCGUUGAGAUGUGUGGUUCAAUCAUGCUUGUAAAGUGCAGUUUAGUAAAGUUUUUCCAAGAUUGAAAAUUUUCAAAUAGUGUACUGGUUUGGGCUAGGGGUACUUUGUUUAACCAACAUUUGCAUCUUAUACUUGAAAAUUUAACAAAUGGAGAACAAUUUGGUUUUUACUGACUCAAGAAGAUGAAUGGCCUGUUGCAAAAUCCCUGAAUUAUCCUAGGAAAUAUCUCUAAUUGGUUGCACUUUUCCUCUAUUUAUCAUUUCAGGAUAGGAAGUAUUCUCGAUGUUCCCUGCCAACUCUGAUCAUAAUUUGUUUGUGGUUUUCUCUGUAUUGGGUUGAUUUCUUUUUUGGUUAUACUUGUGCAAUCAAUAUACUCGUGAAUAUUAGGUGACUAGGUAUGAUUGAGUAUUUGAGUUAACCAGCUUGCUCAUGUUCCAUAGAGCUUGUUCUUGGUCUUGACAGAUGAGAUCUCCAGCCCUCUAGUCUGCUUUAGGUAGGAAGGCAGUUGGGCGCAGUAUUAAUACUGGAAAUUAUGGAAGGAUUUGGUAUUGAUGGAUCAAAAGAAAGAAGGAUUUGGUGUCGGCCGAUAAUAUAUCCAAGGAGUAACUUACAUGAAGUUGCUUUUUGGCAGCCCAAAGGUACAAUGGCAAACAACUUUCCAUGGCAUGAAACAUGGUACUAAAGCUGUUGUUGCAUUUCUUUCUCCAGAUUUUGUUUUCUUUUCGAGUUUGAUCUCGUGCAUGUGAUGCUGAAUGGGAUAACUUCCCAUUAGGUGGCACGUUGAAUCAUCUGCUAGAAUCUUAUGUGCAAUAUUUUUACAUCAUUAGCAUAAAUUGGACUACCGAUGGAGUAGUAUUGAAUGGCUAUGUCCAACCUUAUCAAACGCAGUCUAGAACUAAAAAUCCCCAAGCUGCUCGAGGCUGUAGUGAAACAAAUCAUCGGGACCAAGCCAAUUUUGAAAUUCUACAACUCCUCUCCCUAAUAUACAUGGAGUUCAAGAUGUGUUUGAGGGCGCCCGACAUGAUUUUUUGUAUGUUUAAUUGAAUAUAUUACCUCAAUGUGACAAUUUGUCAAUUUGGAUUGUGUUGCAUUUUGCUGCCGUGUCAUUGUAAAUGUUCCAGGUCAGACUUGCUCUCAGAAUCUCAGUGAAUCUAAUACACCAUUGAAACACAAACACAAGCUAUUCCAGAUGCUAGAACAUAUCUGUUGACAUUGAAGGAGAUAGUCAGGGAGAUACCGUCAGUGCAGUUGAUUGUCUCUGACAGAAGAAGAAAGCUGAACUUCCUCAGUAGAGAAGCUGGGAGAUGAGGGCUAUAGUUGGCGCUUUGCCAAUUGAGAAAAUUUUCUUGCUUUAUUACUCCAGUAGAGACUCAAGUCUUCUGAUGAAAUGGCUUGUGUGCGUUUUCCUUUAUAUGUUUUUGACACAUUCGACAUCUCCUGUCAUGCACCACUACAUUGCUUUUGUUUUAACUAUAAACUUCUUCAGACAGUUUAAUGAACAUUGCGCAAAUGGAACUAA